UACGGAGGGGGCAAGCGUUAUUCGGAAUUAUUGGGCGUAAAGGGCGCGUAGGCGGCUUGACAAGUCAAAGGUGAAAUCCCUCGGCUCAACCGAGGAACUGCCUUUGAAACUGUCUGGCUUGAGGCCGGGAGGGGGUAGCGGAAUUCCCAGUGUAGCGGUGAAAUGCGUAGAUAUUGGGAGGAACACCAGUGGCGAAGGCGGCUACCUGGACCGGUUCUGACGCUGAUGCGCGAAAGCGUGGGUAGCAAACAGG
rnacentral:rRNA from 1 species